AGAGGAAACACAAGCAAAACAACCACUGAAUGUGGAAGAUUCUUCAGAACAAAGGAAACGUGUUACUAUAUAAAUAGUUAACGGAAUAGACGACACAUUAGCGUUUAUUACGGACUUUGCAAGACCAACGCGAAGUGCAUCAAAUGACUUAGAUUAUAAACAAGAAGUAAUGGCAAAUGGAAUGCAAGCACAAUUCUUAAAAAAAAAAAAAAAAAACAA